GAGAAGGACGCCGAAGGUGGGGCUGAUGACUGGGGUGAAGUCGUAACAAGGUAGCCGUACCGGAAGGUGCGGCUGGAUCACCUCCUAACAGGGAGACAAUAAAUUGAUUGUGAUGUCUAAGUUAUUUAUUCUUAGGCCGCAAUCCUGUCACCUUAAGGUCGAUCGGUACCUCAGAUUUUUGAAUUAGUUUUAKAAUUGAUUCUUUGAUUUCAGUUCCUAAACUUGUCUAGGUCACACCCAACAAAGGUUUCUCCUGGGCCAUUAGCUCAGGUGGUUAGAGCGCACCCCUGAUAAGGGUGAGGUCCCUGGUUCAAGUCCAGGAUGGCCCAUUCGUUGUUGGGGGUAUAGCUCAGUUGGUAGAGCGCCUGCUUUGCAAGCAGGAUGUCAGCGGUUCGAGUCCGCUUACCUCCACUGAAAACUAUCCUGAUAACUAAAUUUCUGGAGAAAAAAAUUGUAGAUGUGGCUUAGAAUUGUCUAUUUGAAAAGAACCUAGCUUCUUGUCAUCUUUUUAUAGUUGAUAAAAUGCUGGGCUCGCAUGGAUUAUUUCCAUGAGAWUUCAGUAGAACCUUGAAAACUGCAUAGAUUAGAAAGAAUAAAGCAUCUCAUGGAUGCAUAGUUCUGUUUUUAUAAUUUAGCCUCAAAACUAAAUUAUUUAAUUCUAGAAUUCAUGUUUAAUUCUUGAGUAAUAGCCGAGCACAAUWGAUUUUGUGAUUGUAUUUAAGGUCAAGCUACAAAGGGCUCA
rnacentral:misc_RNA from 1 species